GCUGAGGUCAGAGCCCAGAGUAUAGAGCCUCUGGCAGGAACAAGGCUUUCAGUCCUGGCUGUGUACAUCUGGAUAAUCUGAAGAAAGUCCCGACUCCUGAGUGGAUGGAAGAAACCUCCAGGAACCUCAAGGUGCAUCUAUUAUGGGCCCAGAAGCAGGCAACACCCAGAUGAGACAGCCAUCACAAGAUUCCAGAUAAGGGCUGAAUAUGUCAUCUUAGUUGUUUUUUUUCCUCUUCUCUUUUGUAUGUGCCCCACCAUCAAGGCCCUGAUAUGUGUGUGUUGGCAUUUUCUCACUCUACAUUCUUGUCCCCCCGCCCCAAUUAUUUUCUGCUUGCAAGCAAACAACGGCUAAUAAUGAUACCUAAUAGAUACCCUGAAGGAACUGACUCCCUGGACAAUAUAUUGUCUUGGCCCAACUGGUCUCUUGUGGCAUCUUGGUUUAUACCUGCCUCUCCUUUAUUGGCCAGAAGGGUAAAGGUUCUUUCAUCCCCCCCUACCUUUGGUCAAAAAAGGGAAAUGACAAAAUAUUAGGAGACACCCUGUUUUCGAGAGCUAAGGACCAGCAGGCAAGCUGUGUCCUGAACUUGGCAAGACAAUAAUCCUUUGUGAUUACCCUCUAAAUGAUCUCACCCUCUGGCAAAAUCACAUAAUUCUCAAGGUAUUCUCUAAACUGGAAGAGCACUGGACAGACACAGAAAAUUCUGCAAUGAAUCAACUUGUCACAUUCUUGCUGUUACCCCUCAUUGUCAGGGAUACAGCUCACUGUACAGCUUUUAAUAUAAGUAUUGAGAUUUCCCCACACUGCCUCUCCCCCUUCCCACUAUGGACCUGGCCCCCAGUACAUGCUUGCAAGCCAUUUUCUUCACUUUGAAAAUAAAACUUCUUUUUAAUUCCUGAA